UGCAAGUCGAACGGUAACAGGCCGCAUAGGUGCUGUACGUAUGCUGGCGAACGGGUGAGUAAUACAUCGUGAACGUGCCCGAUCGUGGGGGAUAACGCAGCGAAAGCUGUGCUAAUACCGCAUACGAUCUACGGAUGAAAGCGGGGGAUCGCAAGACCUCGCGCGGACGGAGCGGCCGAUGGCAGAUUAGGUAGUUGGUGGGGUAAAGGCCUACCAAGCCGACGAUCUGUAGCUGGUCUGAGAGGACGACCAGCCACACUGGGACUGAGACACGGCCCAGACUCCUACGGGAGGCAGCAGUGGGGAAUUUUGGACAAUGGGCGCAAGUCCUGAUCCAGCCAUGCCGCGUGCAGGAUGAAGGCCUUCGGGWUGUAAACUGCUUUUGUACGGAACGAARAGGUUUCUUUUAAUACAGKGAACUGAUGACGGUACCGUAAGAAUAAGCACCGGCUAACUACKUGCCAGCAGCCGCGGUAAUACGUAGRGUGCGAGCGUUAAUCGGAAUUACUGRGCGUAAAGCGUGCGCAGGCGGUGAUGUAAGACAGAGGUGAMAUCCCCGRGCUCAACCUGGGAACUGCCUUUGUGACUGCAUCGCUGGAGUGCGGCAGAGGGGGAUGGAAUUCCGCGUGUAGCAGUGAAAUGCGUAGAUAUGCGGAGGAACACCGAUGGCGAAGGCAAUCCCCUGRGCCUGCACUGACGCUCAUGCACGAMAGCGUGGGGAGCARACAGGAUUAGAUACCCUGGUAGUCCACGCCCUAAACGAUGUCAACUGGUUGUUGGGAAUUAGUUUUCUCAGUAACGAAGCUAACGCGUGAAGUUGACCGCCUGGGGAGUACGGCCGCAAGGUUGAAACUCAMAGGAAUUGACGGGGACCCGCACAAGCRGUGGAUGAUGUGGUUUAAUUCGAUGCAACGCGAAAAACCUUACCCACCUUUGACAUGUACGGAAUCCUUUAGAGAUAGAGGAGUGCUCGAAAGAGAGCCGUAACACAGGUGCUGCAUGGCUGUCGUCAGCUCGUGUCGUGAGAUGUUGGGUUAAGUCCCGCMACRAGCGCAACCCUUGCCAUUAGUUGCUACGAAAGGGCACUCUAAUGGGACUGCCGGUGACAAACCGGAGGAAGGUGGGGAUGACGUCAAGUCCUCAUGGCCCUUAUAGGUGGGGCUACACACGUCAUACAAUGGCUGGUACAAAGGGUUGCCAACCCGCGAGGGGGAGCUAAUCCCAUAAAGCCAGUCGUAGUCCGGAUCGCAGUCUGCAACUCGACUGCGUGAAGUCGGAAUCGCUAGUAAUCGUGGAUCAGCAUGUCACGGUGAAUACGUUCCCGGGUCUUGUACACACCGCCCGUCACACCAUGGGAGCGGGUCUGCCAGAAGUAGGUAGCCUAACCGUAAGGAG
rnacentral:rRNA from 1 species